GUCAUGGUUUGUAACACACACAUCUGGAGGUGCGCGGUGGCGCCGCCGGCCCAGCCUGUAGACCCAUACGCCGACCGCACCCCACCCGCCUACGACCCAAACUGAUAGUUCACGUGUGGCACAUCUGUGUGACCGGGCACACAAACACCGAAUGAUGCAACAACCCUCCGGACACACACGGGUGUUGGUAAUCAUCACACGCUGUGUGUGCGCAGCAUGCCAGGCCCCAACCACAGGACCGAUGCGUCAGCCGUGAGUGGGAUGCGUUCACGUCGGCAGCAGCCAUGCAC
rnacentral:lncRNA from 1 species